GACAGACACUGCCACCCACAGCCCGUCCCUGCCUCCUCCAGCUGCCCACCAGCCCAGACCCGCGGGAGCGAUGAAGAUGGGCCCACACGUGUGCCACACUGCUGUCCCGGCAGGAGGAACAGGGCAUUCUGAUCACCAGGAAUAUUCUAGUAGUUGAAAAGGUCUGGGAAAUCAUCUGCUUGACAUCUCAUCUGUGGAUCAAAUGAACCACUGGCCAGAAGAUGUGUACGCAGAAAGGAGGGACUGUGGGUGGGGGGCCCUGGUCCUGACCAGCCAGAGUACCAAGGGCCCAUUAUGUUACUCCCUGGGGUGCGGGCAUGGUGGUAACAAAAGCCAGAGUGAAGAAACUUCUGGGUUCAAACCUCAGCCCUCAACCUCAUAAGAGACAGCGGGGGAAGAACACUUAGCAGGAAAUCUGCCUUCUGUGUGCGUGGCGUACCGGCAGCACUGAGCACGGGCCCAGAGUGUGGAAAGCCUGCAACAGAGCCUGUACCUUUGGCCACCCUUGCACAACUCGAGAAUGUGGUGGCACCCAGCCCACAUUCCUGGAUGGCACCUGACGCCAGAGCCAAGCCCACCUCCCCUCCAAAAGCAUGGAUUUCCCAGGUCCUCACAGCCCCCCUGCAGUUUGUAGGGUUGGGAAGGGAAAGACUCUCCUUUUGUCCACAUGUCUUUCAAAGGAGUGAAAAUGCAGACCCUGUGUGUCUUUAACAACAGUACUGCUCUCUGCUUGGCUGGCCGCACCCAUUCCCUGCCCCUGCACUGCGUGUCUGUGACCUUUCCCGAUGCGUUCUGGACGGACGGCCCAUGCCGGUGUUCUGUCGCAGAGCCGAAACGAGCUUACGAAAUCCCACCCAG